AUCAAUCCGCGAUCCGUUGUUCUAUCUUAUCCAGACUCUCCCUUCCCAGCCGCGGCGGAGCGCGAGAAGGCGGAGGAGCGGCGGAGCACGAGAAGGUGAGGGGCGGCGCCGGCGGCGACAGCUUCGGGUGGGCGAGCGUGCUGGAGGAUGCUUCGCGGAAGGUGGCGGAAGAAGAAAAGGACCCAACCCAAAAUCCCCAACACGUCCAUCCCCCACCUACCCCAUCGUCUUCCUACCCCGACUCCGUCCCAGCCAAUCGGCGAUGUGCGCCGCCCCCGGCCAUGCGGCGCUCGCCUCCUGCCGGCCACGCGCCCCAGCGACUCCUCCCUGGUCCACUCCGGCGAGUCGCGCCGCCCCGGACCACGUUUGGAGACAUAGGGGCUCUCACGAACUAGGGUUGGAGCUGCCGCCUCUCCAGCCUGCCCGCCGGCGGCGCCUCAACUAUGAGCCACCUCCAAACAGGCAUCUCUCCUCUCCCUGCUUCGCUUCGUCCGUUGUCGCCUCGCAUUGUUGCUUCCCCGGCACCCAGGUCACCGCUGCACCCCCGCCUUGCCCGGCCUCUCCUACGGCCCUGGCCUCCCGCUCUUCACUCCUCUGCCCAGCGGCGGGAAGUAGCAGACGUUGGAGUCCUCACUGGUGAUUCAGACUUUGUCAUCGGGACAGAUGAAGCAAAGAAAACAGAUGACAUCACUGAACUGAACAUUGCAGAGGAUUUUGAUAACCGACCUUCAAAAAGGGCAACACCGUCCGCUCGUGCACCGCCGGCUUCGCUGGACCUCCGUAAUCCCGUGCUCUGCCCUUCACUGGAGCUCUGUCUCGCCGUGCUUCACCUGAGGUAAAAGUGGUAGUGGUGUUUGAUGCUGCACUGUCUGGGCAAUCUACACACACUGUAACUUAUAAAGGGGUUGAUGUGGUAUAUUCUUCUGACUUAUCUUCUGAUUCUUGGAUCAAGGAGAUGAACCAAAUUGUCAAGUUUUUUGUCAGAAGAAACUAAUGAAGGAUGCCCUGAGAGUUCCUAGCUUAUUGUCCCAUGCAUUCACAUCAGUGAAAGGUUUGUCCAAAGAUUUAAUUUUAUUAAUAGGCAAAAGUCCCUGGUUCCAUGAAGAAUGUGUAUCUGACCUUUUAAGAUUAUUUCUAUAGUGUUAGGUUAAGUAUACACACACACACACACACAUUAUUGUUGGUGGUUUUGCCUUAUGACAAAAGUAGCUUAUUUUUGCAGAAUAAAGUAUUACUUCAUCAGCAAGAAUUACAUGCUCCCUCCGUUAAUGUUAUUUAUUUAAUGGCCGACAAAAUAAUGGUUUACAGGUGCAUGAUUAAACGAAGACUCGAGGGAGAAGGUAGUAUUAUUAGCUUCUAAGUUACACUUUCUGUGCUUAUAUCAAAUUAUGGAUCUUCUCUUUGUUGCCAACACCAACUCCCUACCUUUGCCAACAAAAAAUUAAGUCCAAUGUGGCUGAUAGAAUAUUGCAUCACUCUUUUCUUGCGAGUGCCAGGUAAGACACCAGCGUACCAAAAUUGCAGUCCAUAUGUGCUGGCAAGAUGGAGGGCCGAGUAGCUCAAACGUGUGACCUGUUCUUCCAAUUUUGUAAUUAUUUGAUGAGUGUUGGAUUUUCUAGGCUGAAAAGAUGACAAUGAAGCUGAGAGAAGAGAGCAUGACUACAACCCAGGAGCGGAUGUGCAAUAAGAGAUGAUAUGGCUUCUUCACAGAAACAUCUUUUGGUCCUUUUUCCUUCAUAUGACCAACCAUUGGCCAGGUUCUACUAUCCUGAAGUAAUAGAACACAACACCCGGUUCACAUAAUAUCUUUGUCGUUUUCCUGUUCUGUAAAAAAUAUAUUGUUUAAAGGAUGAUCAACUGUGGUUAAAAACCUGUACAUCCUUUGCUGCGCUA